GUAUGAAUUCCAUCUUGGUACAAUGUUUUUUUGUCAACCAUACUUACUGCUAACUUGUUCAUCUGUACAGAAGGUAAAGAAAACACCUGUGGACCCCCACAAAGGAAAACAGACAGAGAUGACGCUGUGGACUCAUUUGAUAAGCGUUUUAGGAGUGACAGCAAGAACUUACCCUCCCAAUCUGAGGUCAACAUCACAUGUCUGAACCAUAUUGCUAGCAAAGGUUUUAUUUCAACCAUAUUCUUAACUUGAUGACAAUAUUGCAGAAGGUGAAGAAAACAUAUGUACACCCCCAGAAGUCAAAGACUGAAAGAGACGAUAGCAAGAACUUACCCUCCGAAUCUGAGGUCAGCAUCACAUGUCUGAACCAAAUUGCUAACAAACGUUUUUCUCAACCCAUAUUUCUAACCUUAAGUCAAAUAUCGCAGAAGGUCAAGCCUACGUCCAUGGAUGCCAUGGACUCCAUAGGGAGGCGUGUCAGACAUGACGGCCGGAAGAAAAAGAAGUCCUCACUCCUUCAGAGCGAGGAAUACGAAUUUUACACCCCCGCGCUCAGAAAGAAAAGAGCUCUAUCUCAACAGACACAUGACAGUAACGAUGUUAUGUACACACAGAAUAAGAAGAUGAAUCCCGGGAAAAGCAACAGCCAGCAGCUAAAACAGCUCAAGGAGGACUUGAUCAAUUUUAAAACAGCUCAAGGAGGACUUGAUCAAUUUUCAGGCAGAAACAGAUAGAGUUACACAGAAUAUAGUAGCAGAUUAUGUAAACAGUACUCCAGAGACCGCCAAGUUGGUGAAGAUCAAGGACAUACUUCUAACGCAGAAGUAUCUUAAAUGCCUUACAACACCAGAUCAUUCCUCCUUUGCAGCUUGGGUGGAUGACGAUGUAAGUGCUAACGCAAUAUGGUAUCUUUGAUUAUUUAUAUGUUUUCCAAUUGAACUAAUAUCUUCUUUCUUAGGUACUCGAUGCGGCAAUCGAACUCCUACGUCUGGACGGACUAGAAGGUGUAUGAGAUCAUGGUACCGUGUAUGUCGAAAGGUCGACCAUCGUCAACAUCCUGAAGAGAGAUGGCACAGUCCCGAAUUGUACCUUGGAUGUUUUAAGCGGCAAAUCAGGCACUAAAUGGGGAGAUAACUACCUUAAACAUGACAUGAUUUUCCUACCUUCAAAUAUUCCCAAGAACCACUGGUUCCUGGCUGUUGUCAACUCCCAAAAGAGGGAGAUUCAAAUUCUGGACUCACUCCAAUCACGCAACAACCGGAAAGAAGUAAUUGCUGCGCUUCUUGGAAUGGAAACACAUAUUGAUAUAGCAGUGAUGGAAAAUGGAAUGCAAGGAAGUAGAUGGCCGGACACUCAAGUGGCUUCGUGGCCUAUCAAAGACUAUGAAGUGCCACAGCAAACAGAUGGCUGUUCCUGUGCUCUCUGGGUGUUGAAAUUCAUCCAAUAUUGGACCGGAGUGAGAUUGUCGGCAAUAUU